GUCUAUAUGAAGGUGUAUAUAGUUUGGCCUGCUCACUGAUUAUAUUAAAGAGCCGCAGUAUUUUGACUGUGCGAAGGUAGCAUAAUAAAUUGUCUUUUAAAUGGAGGCUUGAAUGAAAGGUUGGACAAAGUGUCAUCUGUUUCUUAAAUACUUAUUGAAUUUGACUUUCAAGUGAAAAGGCUUGAAUAAAUUAAAAAGACGAUAAGACCCUAUAAAUCUUUACAAUAAAUAUGUUUUAUAUUUUUAUUUAUAAAGUGAAUAAAAUAUUAAGUUUGUAGUUGUUUCGCUGGGGCGGCGUAGAUAUAUAAAUUAACUGUCUAUAUUUUAAAUACAAUAAUUAUUGAUUAAUAAAAUUGAUCCUUAAAUAGAUUAAAAGAUUAAGAUACUUUAGGGAUAACAGCGUUAUUUUUUCUGAGAGUUCUUAUCGAAGAAAAAGUUUGCGACCUCGAUGUUGAAUUAAAGUAUCUUUAUGGUGCAGUCGCUAUAAGAGAGAGUCUGUUCGACUUUUAAUACUUUACAUGAUUUGAGUUCAGACCGGCGUGAG
rnacentral:rRNA from 1 species